UACGUAGGGGGCGAGCGUUGUCCGGAAUUAUUGGGCGUAAAGCGCACGCAGGCGGUUCGCCAAGUUCGCAGUGACAAUCUCCGGCUUAACCGGGGAACGAUUGCGAAAACUGGCGGACUUGAGAGUGAGAGAGGGACAUGGAACUCCGGGUGGAGCAGUGAAAUGCGUAGAGAUCCGGAAGAACACCUAAGGCGAAGGCAGUGUCCUGGCUCAUGUCUGACGCUCAGGUGCGAAAGCUAGGGGAG
rnacentral:rRNA from 1 species